rnacentral:rRNA from 1 species
UACGUAGGGCGCAAGCGUUAUCCGGAAUUAUUGGGCGUAAAGAGCUCGUAGGCGGUUUGUCGCGUCUGCCGUGAAAGUCCGGGGCUCAACUCCGGAUCUGCGGUGGGUACGGGCAGACUAGAGUGAUGUAGGGGAGACUGGAAUUCCGGGUGUAGCGGUGAAAUGCGUAGAUAUCCGGAGGAACACCGGUGGCGAAGGCGGCUUCCUGGACCGACACUGACGCUGAGGCGCGAAAGCUAGGGGAGCAAACGGG